rnacentral:rRNA from 1 species
GACGGAGGGGGCUAGCGUUGUUCGGAAUUACUGGGCGUAAAGAGCGCGUAGGCGGAUUGGCAAGUUGGGAGUGAAAGCCCGGGGCUUAACCUCGGAACUGCUUCCAAAACUGCUAAUCUUGAGUAUGGUAGGGGAUGAUGGAAUUCCUAGUGUAGAGGUGAAAUUCUUAGAUAUUAGGAGGAACACCGGUGGCGAAAGCGAUCAUCUGGACCAUAACUGACGCUGAGGCGCGAAAGCGUGGGGAGCAAAC